rnacentral:rRNA from 1 species
UCGACCUCAAAUCAGGUAGGAAUACCCGCUGAACUUAAGCAUAUCAAUAAGCGGAGGAAAAGAAACCAACAGGGAUUGCCUCAGUAGCGGCGAGUGAAGCGGCAAGAGCUCAGAUUUGAAAUCGUGCUUUGCGGCACGAGUUGUAGAUUGCAGGUUGGAGUCUGUGUGGAAGGCGGUGUCCAAGUCCCUUGGAACAGGGCGCCCAGGAGGGUGAGAGCCCCGUGGGAUG